CUUGGAGGAGGCGAAAAAUAAAUAAGAUGAGUAGAGGACAUGAUCAUUAAGUGACACCGUGCUACUGUUGACAACUCAUUUCAAAACGGAGGCAGCGGGGUCCCGCCUUUGAUCUACUCUUUGGAGCGACAGCUGUUGUCGACAGGUUUGCGUUUCUUGCCAUGAGCGCUGACCUCCGACGUAUUCCUCGCCGCGGCCGACUUUGUGAUUUGAGCCAGUGAGGUGGGCUGUUUUGCGUGUCAGCCGGGACGGGACGCCCGCUGUACUUCAUGGGAAAGUGCGUGGGCAACACUGAGACAAUAUCCAAGCUGCGGCGACAUUGCGACGCUCUCGGGGAAAAUAGAGUGUCGGCGCGAUGCCACCAGGCGUCCGAGGCCCUCGCAGAUGGGAUGGAGUGCGGCACGAUGAGUGGGA